UAGGGAAUCUUCGGCAAUGGACGGAAGUCUGACCGAGCAACGCCGCGUGAGUGAAGAAGGUUUUCGGAUCGUAAAGCUCUGUUGUAAGAGAAGAACGAGUGUGAGAGUGGAAAGUUCACACUGUGACGGUAUCUUACCAGAAAGGGACGGCUAACUACGUGCCAGCAGCCGCGGUAAUACGUAGGUCCCGAGCGUUGUCCGGAUUUAUUGGGCGUAAAGCGAGCGCAGGCGGUUUGAUAAGUCUGAAGUUAAAGGCUGUGGCUCAACCAUAGUUCGCUUUGGAAACUGUCAAACUUGAGUGCAGAAGGGGAGAGUGGAAUUCCAUGUGUAGCGGUGAAAUGCGUAGAUAUAUGGAGGAACACCGGUGGCGAAAGCGGCUCUCUGGUCUGUAACUGACGCUGAGGCUCGAAAGCGUGGGGAGCGAACAGGAUUAGAUACCCUGGUAGUCCACGCCGUAAACGAUGAGUGCUAGGUGUUGGAUCCUUUCCGGGAUUCAGUGCCGCAGCUAACGCAUUAAGCACUCCGCCUGGGGAGUACGACCGCAAGGUUG
rnacentral:rRNA from 1 species